GGACGGCCCGACGGCCAGAUGGCAGACUCGCUUAUAAUUUAUAAGUAACUGGGCACGGAGAGCGAGAGCAUCGCAUGAUAAAUUCGGCAGGAUAUGAGUACCUAUGGUAUCGCAGUCAAAAUGACAACGCUUACCUCGCUGCCGUUGAUUUCGCGCCUGUCCAAUAGAGUCAUCAGGAUAUUGGGCUGCAAUCCCGGACCCAUGACUCUGCAGGGCACCAACACUUAUCUCGUCGACGGGUGUUGAUCGAUUCCGGGGACAUGGACACCGGGGAUCAGUACACGGCGCUCCUCAAAGACGUCCUGGCGGAUGAAAACGCGACGAUUGAGCACCUGAUAGUAACGCACUGGCAUCACGACCACAUCGGCGGCGUCAGGGCGGUCCAGAGUUUGCUGAAAGGCAAUCCGCAAUCGAGUCCCGCGACGGUCUGGAAGCUGCCUCGGUCUACUGGCGACCCUGGCGGCGAGCAGGACGAGGAAUCCGCCGGUGCUUGGAGCCCUUUGAAUGUAAAAACUCUUUUUAGCACACACAUGGUUUUAUCGGAAAGGCCUAUAUUAUAUGCCGAUUCAUGCAAUUUAAUCUAACAAAUCAGGUUCGAGGUUCAAUCGGCUACUGGCGCAGGUCGUAUUAUUGUGAUAUAUCACCGUAUAAUAUGAUCGCUGUUAAUUAUAAUCGAGGCGUUAAAAUCUACACUACUCUAAAUUACUUGGCAUACAUUUUUCAACUUACUCCACUGUAAUAAAAACGAACGAUCAGGACGAGCAGCUGAUAGAGAUAGAAGGAGCGAACCUGCGGAUAAAGCACACCCCGGGUCACACGACCGAUCACGCCUGUCUCGUGUUGGAGGAGGAGAACGCACUGUUCAGCGGCGACUGCAUCCUCGGCGAGACCUCGGCCGUCUUCGAGGACCUGCACGACUACCUCAUCUCGCUGAAAAAGAUCCUGCGGCAGGACGCUAAACUGAUAUAUCCGGGACACGGACCUGUGGUGCGAGAUCCUAGCACGAAGAUUCAGGCCUACAUCGAUCACAGACAGAAGAGGGAAGAACAGAUAGUGCAGUUUCUCGAGGGCAGAAGGGGUCGAGAGGCUUGCGGUGUCUGGGAUAUCGUCGACUCUAUGUACAAGGACACGCCGAAAAACCUCUGGCCAGCGUGCGCAUCGAAUGUGAACCAUCAUUUGGAGAAACUCUUGAAGGAGGGUCGAGUCAGUCACGAGGACGAUAAGUGGUUGAUAAUUUGAGAAAAGAAAUGCGUGCAAUAUAAAAGAAAACACAAUCGUCUAGAUUUUGUAAAAUAAAAAAAAAAGAAGAAAGCAUAUCGUGUAAAUAUUUGUAAAGUAAAUAAAGCAAUUGCGAGCGCUGCAAAA
rnacentral:lncRNA from 1 species